rfam:Schistosoma rodhaini strain Burundi genome assembly, scaffold: SROB_scaffold0000575
AUCCAGCUGAAGAGUCUUAAAUAGGACGAAAUGCGCCUCCUGGAU